rnacentral:rRNA from 1 species
UACGGGGGGGGCAAGCGUUGUUCGGAAUUACUGGGCGUAAAGGGCUCGUAGGCGGCCAACUAAGUCAGACGUGAAAUCCCUCGGCUUAACCGGGGAACUGCGUCUGAUACUGGAUGGCUUGAGGUUGGGAGAGGGAUGCGGAAUUCCCGGUGUAGCGGUGAAAUGCGUAGAGAUCGGGAAGAACAUCGGUGGCGAAAGCGCUCUGCUGGACUGCAACUGACACUCAGGGACGAAAGCUAGGGGAGCGAAUGGG